AGGGGGAAUGGGGGGAUCAAUGUGUGGGGCAGUGGGGUUUGGGGUGGGAUCCCAUUGGGAUCCCAUAAGGUGUGGGGUUCUCCAUCAUUGGGGUCCCAUUGGGAGGAGAAUGGGGCGCAAUGUGUGGGGUAAUGGGGUGUGGGGUGGGACCCCAAUGGGAUCCCAUAGGGGGGGAAUGGGGGCUCAAUGUGUGGGGCAAUGGGGUGUGGGGUGGGACCCCAAUGGGAUCCCAUAGGGGGGGAAUGGGGGCUCAAUGUGUGGGGCAAUGGGGUGUGGGGUGGGACCCCAUUGGGAUCCCAUUGGGGGGGAAUGGGGCUCAAUGUGUGGGGCAAUGGGGUGUGGGGUGGGACCCCAUUGGGGGACCCCAUAAACUUUGGGGUUCUCCAUAUUGGGGUCCCUACACUGGAGUGGGGACCCCAGUGUGUGGGGCAGUGGGGUGUGGGGUGGGACCCCAUUGGGAUCCCAUAAGGUGUGGGGUUCUCCAUCAUUGGGGUCCCAUUGGGAGGAGAAUGGGGCGCAAUGUGUGGGGCAAUGGGGUGUGGGGUGGGACCCCAUUGGGAUCCCAUAGGGGGGGAAUGGGGGCACAAUGUGUGGGGCAAUGGAGUGUGGGGUGGGACCCCAUUGGGGGACCCCAUAAGGUGUGGGGUUCUCCAUAUUGGGGUCCCUACACUGGAGUGGGGACCCCAAUGUGUGGGGCAAUGGGGUGUGGGGUGGGACCCCAUUGGGGGACCCCAUAAAGUGUGGGGUUCUCCAUAUUGGGGUCCUAUGGGGAGAGGAAUGGGGGCUCAAUGUGUGGGGUAAUGGGAUAUGGGGUGGGGUGGGACCCCAUUGGGAUCCCAUAGGGGGGGAAUGGGGCUCAAUGUGUGGGGUAAUGGGAUGUGGGGUGGGACCCCAUUGGGUGACCCCAUAAACUUUGGGUCCCCCAUUAUUGAGCCAUGGGGUGACCCCAUAAACUUUGGGCCCCCAUUAUAGGGCUAUAAGGUGACCCCAUAAACUUUGGGCCCCCCGUUAUUGGGAUUUUGGGGUCCCCUAUUAUAGGGCCAUGGGGUGACCCCAAUUUAGGGUCCCCCCCGAUGGGAUUUGGGGUCCCCCAUUACAGAGCUAUGGGGUGACCCCAUAAACUUUGGGCCCCCCAUUAUUGGGGUCCCCCUUUAUAGGGCUAUGGGGUGACCCCAAUGUUUGGGUCCCCCCCAAUGGGAUUUGGGGUCCCCCAUUACAGAGCUAUGGGGUGACCCCAUAAACUUUGGGCCCCCCAUUAUUGGGGUCCCCCUUUAUAGGGCUAUGGGGUGACCCCAAUGUUAGGGUCCCCCCGAUGGGAUUUGGGGUCCCCCCUCACCUCUCUUUGCCGUCGCCCCCAUUAUUGGGGUCCCCCAUUAUAGGGCCAUGGGGUGACCCCAAUUUAGGGUCCCCCCCGAUGGGAUUUGGGGUCCCCCAUUACAGAGCUAUGGGGUGACCCCACAAACUUUGGGCCCCCCAUUAUUGGGGUCCCCCAUUAUAGGGCCAUGGGGUGACCCCAAUUUAGGGUCCCCCCGAUGGGAUUUGGGGUCCCCCCUCACCUCUCUUUGCCGUCGCCCUCCAUGUCCAACGAUUGGCUGAGGAACUCCUCCAGGUCGAAGCCCACCCCAUAUCCCGCCCCGCUGCCUUUUGGGGUCACCGAGAAGACGGGGGGCAAAAUGUCCUCCACCUUUAUGGGGGAAAAGGGGGGGGGGGGGGGAAGAGAGGACCCCAAAAACGUGACCCCAAAAUGGAGACCCCAAAUCCAUGACCCCAAAUUAAGAUCACCAACCCAUCCUAAGACCCCAAAUGGAGACCCCAAUUCUCUGACCCCAAAUGGAGACCCCCAACCCAUCCUGUGAUCCCAAAUGGAGACCCCAAAUCCAUGACCCCAAAUGGAGACCCCCAA
ensembl:lncRNA